UCCGGUUUGUCACCGGCGGUCUCCUUAGAGUUCCCACCAUUACGUGCUGGCAACUAACGACAAGGGUUGCGCUCGUUGCGGGACUUAACCCAACAUCUCACGACACGAGCUGACGGCAGCCAUGCAGCACCUGGACAUCCAAUUCCCUUGCGGGCACAUCCACAUCUCUGUGGAGUUCCGUACAUGUCAAGGGUAGGUAAGGUUUUUCGCGUUGCGUCGAAUUGAACCACAUCAUCCACCGCUUGUGCGGGCCCCCGUCAAUUCCUUUGAGUUUUAAUCUUGCGACCGUACUCCCCAGGCGGAUGACUUCUCGCGUUAGCUGCGUUACUAAAGGAUUUAACUCCUCCAACAACUAGUCAUCAUCGUUUAGGGCGUGGACUAC
rnacentral:misc_RNA from 1 species